UUUCCUACGGGGGGCAGCAGUGGGGGAUAUUGCACAAUGGGGGAAACCCUGAUGCAGCGAUGCCGCGUGGAGGAAGAAGGUUUUCGGAUUGUAAACUCCUUUUAUCAGGGACGAUAAUGACGGUACCUGAAGAAAAAGCUCCGGCUAACUACGUGCCAGCAGCCGCGGUAAUACGUAGGGAGCAAGCGUUAUCCGGAUUUAUUGGGUGUAAAGGGUGCGUAGAUGGAUAAACAAGUUGUUUGUGAAAUACCUCGGCUCAACUGAGGAACUGCAAGCAAAACUGUAUAUCUUGAGUACUGGAGGGG
rnacentral:rRNA from 1 species